GGCUUCUUGGCCCAAUGGUAAGGCGUCUGACUACGACCAAGCAUGACCAAACAUGCUCGACAAAGUUAUCAGGAGAUUCUGGGUUCGAGCCCCAGGGAGGUCA